ACCUGGCAGGAACAAAGACACAGAAUUGACACAGUUGAAAAAGCUGAGCUAUUCUAUCUAGAAUAUUUUACAGGAAAAGAGGGAAAUGGAAGAAA